GGAUCAUUGUCGAAAUCGAACGGAAGAACGACCCGCGAAUCGUCACUGCGUAGUAGACAGAGCCCGUGAGCACCCAGCGCUCACGGGUCUCGCGUCGCGUCGGCGCGGGUGUGUACUCGAGACCCGCGUCGUACCGGCGGACAAACAACGUCAGCACGGAUCGUGCCAAGGAGCUGCAUGGAGAAUCGUCGUCCCACGCCUUUGAUAGUCCUCGACGCGGGACGGGGGACGUACGCGAUCUCUACUCAAGUCUAAACGACUCUCGGCAACGGAUAUCUCGGCUCUUGCAUCGAUGAAGAACGUAGCGAAAUGCGAUACUUGGUGUGAAUUGCAGAAUCCCGUGAACCAUCAAUUCUUUGAACGCAAGUUGCGCCCGAAGCCAUUCGGCCGAGGGCACGCCUGCCUGGGCGUCGUGAAUCCCCUUGCCCCUGGGCACCCGCAUGAGCAUUGGCGGGGAUAUAUGCCCGGGCGCAGAAUAUGGUCUCCCGUGGGAUCGGCAUGCACGGCAUGUCGAGGUGCGGUUGGCCGAAAAUCGAGCAUGGCGGUGACGGGCACCACGGCGUUCGGUGGAUCGAACGGGAUUGGCUGCGUCGUGGGCUCGGCAUGCGGCGGGCUCCGGACUUUGAAUAUCCCCGAGUGCGAUCCCAGGUCAGGCGGGGCUACCCGCUGAGUUUAAGCAUAUCAAUAAGCGGAGGAAAAGAAACUAACGAGGAUUCCCUUAGUAGCGGC
rnacentral:rRNA from 1 species